AUUGAACGCUGGCGGCAGGCCUAACACAUGCAAGUCGAACGGUAACAGGAAACAGCUUGCUGUUUCGCUGACGAGUGGCGGACGGGUGAGUAAUGUCUGGGAAACUGCCUGAUGGAGGGGGAUAACUACUGGAAACGGUAGCUAAUACCGCAUAACGUCGCAAGACCAAAGAGGGGGACCUUCGGGCCUCUUGCCAUCGGAUGUGCCCAGAUGGGAUUAGCUAGUAGGUGGGGUAACGGCUCACCUAGGCGACGAUCCCUAGCUGGUCUGAGAGGAUGACCAGCCACACUGGAACUGAGACACGGUCCAGACUCCUACGGGAGGCAGCAGUGGGGAAUAUCGCACAAUGGGCGCAAGCCUGAUGCAGCCAUGCCGCGUGUAUGAAGAAGGCCUUCGGGUUGUAAAGUACUUUCAGCGGGGAGGAAGGGAGUAAAGUUAAUACCUUUGCUCAUUGACGUUACCCGCAGAAGAAGCACCGGCUAACUCCGUG
rnacentral:rRNA from 1 species